rnacentral:rRNA from 1 species
UUAUCCGGAAUUACUGGGCGUAAAGGGUGCGUAGGUGGUUUCUUAAGUCAGAGGUGAAAGGCUACGGCUCAACCGUAGUAAGCCUUUGAAACUGGGAAACUUGAGUGCAGGAGAGGAGAGUGGAAUUCCUAGUGUAGCGGUGAAAUGCGUAGAUAUUAGGAGGAACACCAGUUGCGAAGGCGGCUCUCUGGACUGUAACUGACACUGAGGCACGAAAGCGUGGGGAGCAAACAGGAUUAGAUACCCUGGUAGUCCACGCCGUAAACGAUGAGUACUAGCUGUCGGAGGUUACCCCCUUCGGUGGCGCAGCUA